rnacentral:rRNA from 1 species
GACGAACGCUGGCGGCGCGCCUAACACAUGCAAGUCGAACGGAGUUAUAUUGGCAGAAGUUUUCGGACGGACGCGGAUAUAACUUAGUGGCGAACGGGUGAGUAACACGUGAGCAACCUACCCUUCAGAGGGGGACAACAGUUGGAAACGACUGCUAAUACCGCAUAAGACCACGGUGUGGCAUCACACAGAGGUCAAAGGAGAAAUCCGCUGAAGGAUGGGCUCGCGUCCAAUUAGCUAGAUGGUGAGGUAACGGCCCACCAUGGCGACGAUUGGUAGCCGGACUGAGAGGUUGAUCGGCCACAUUGGGACUGAGACACGGCCCAGACUCCUACGGGAGGCAGCAGUGGGGAAUAUUGCACAAUGGAGGAAACUCUGAUGCAGCGACGCCGCGUGAGGGAAGAAGGUCUUCGGAUUGUAAACCUCUGUUGUCAGGGACGAUGAUGACGGUACCUGACGAGGAAGCCACGGCUAACUACGUG